UAAGACCUUAAAAUGCUGUUGUCUUAAGCCCUCUUUAUUCUAAUAAAAUUUACAGAGAUAAGCACAUAUAAGCUAAACUACUAUAAAGGAAAUAUUAGGAUUUUUUAAACCCAUAAACAGACAUGAAAACAGUCACUGUUUGAUUGCAGAGAAAGUGAGAUUCUAAAGCAGCUGGCCCCAAAACAGCCUCACAAAACCCCAGGCAGGCCAGGCAGUCUGAACACUACAAGGCCACGUAAUGGUCACAGAGGAUGACAGCUCCCAUGAGUAUUAGGCACUGUGUUCGCUUCUCACUCACAGUCUCAGAUGCCUCCUCACCAAUACCCUGUGAGGGGAGGCCCCGCCUCACUAGAGCACAGGAGGUUCCUGAGCUCCUCCCAGAAAAUGGUCAUCAAAGGGUGGAGCUAGGGGAAGCCCAGACAGAACAAGUGAGUCCCUAGGAUCUCCUUAACCUUCCUCAGCUUCUCCACAUGGGUCCCUGAGGGAAAAUGAGCAGCCUCAUGUCCCCAUUGAUAGGGUUCCAGUCCUGUAGGUCUGGACUCUGUCAUUUUAUGCUACCUUAGGGGGUGACAGUGCAACCCCAGGCCCCUUAUUUGCCAUCUCUCAAUGCCAGGCCAGGCCCAGAGCCCUUUGCUGACACAGCCCAGGGGAUGCUCGAGGCCCACCUCAGUGCAAUCAGUGAGAAGGGCAAGGAGGUGCAAGUAGACACAAAUCCCCAUGGACACGGCCUCAGGCACGUUCCACAGGCUCAGGGCCUCCCUGAUGAGCUCACGGCCCUCCUUCAGGAAGCCUGUGGAGCACAGCCCCAGAGAGCAGUGCUCAGAUGAGCAUGCAGGCCCCACAUCCCCCACCCCAUGACACUCUUUUCCACUUUGCAGGGUUUCUGCAUUGGCCAGUGGCCACUGCUUUCUGUUGAGAUGUCCCAGUUGAAGUGAAUGUUGAAGGCCACAGAGCUGAUGGAGCUGACUGCCUUGCACAUGUUGUAAAUCACCUCCUGGCUCCAAGGGUCGGCUGUAGAGACACAGCUUGAUGGGAGGUCGCCCGACUCCACCAUCAGUGGUGCUGGGCUGCCGUGAUCUGCACCUUCCAGCUCCUUGCUGAGAUGUCUGCAUGCUUCUCUAAGGGACUGGGUCACGAGGCACCCCUGGCAAGGACCAGCUGGCAGAACAGGCUGGACACUCUCCCUCAGCCUCCCCAGAAGCCCCGCCUGUGCUGUCAUCUGUGCUGAGGAUCUCCGUGACCGAGAACAAGUGGCAUCCCAGGAGCCUGUGAGGGGCUGGCAGAGACUUACUGGUUCCAGGAAAAGCCCCAUGUGGAUGUAGUAACGCUGCCUGCGGAUCCUUGGCUGUAAUUACAAACAGUUUCACCUUCCAGUUCUGGUUCUGGAGACAAGAUGGCCCCUCUUGGAACCCUGGGAGAAUGUGCUCAGGUGACACACAGUCGACAGGGCCCAUUUCCAAGCCAUUCUUCCAUUUCCCACUGUUUGAGGGGCCGAGGCCAGUGAUCAGCACAGGACCACCCAGGGCCAGCUGUCUGCACCUAAAUGUGAUGCUGUUCUGGAUGUCUCAGGGCCAGAACCCUCCAGGUGAGAUGGCUGGUCCUCAGCACCUGGCUUCCAUGCUCCUUUUUCCUCUGUUCAAUCCUGGCCCCAAUGCCUCCCGCAACUCUCAGGUCACCAUUGGAGAAGAUGCUCAGGAAGAACAAGCAGCUGCAGUCAACCCUGCUGAAGGUGGCAGAUGGGUCCAGAUUCUUGAGCUGGUCUUGGACAUGGUACAUGUGGAUGCAGGCUUUGAGCAGUGUGUUUAGCUCUUUCCGGAAGGAGGGGAAAAGGGUGUUACCCGGGUCCUACACCCUAGAACGACCCAUCUAGGACAGUAAAUAGUUUGCAAGGUGCUAUCAUGUGUGAUUUUAAUUUUCAACUUUAGGCUUUCAUUUUCAAAUUCCACAAAAAACACAUAAGGUGGGGUUCUGAUUUCAACACACACACACACACACACACACACACACACACACACACACUCUCUCUCUCUCUCCCUCUCUCUUAGAAUCUUCCAGUGCAUUCACACUGAAAGCCAAAGUCCUCCCAGAAUCUUGUGAGAACCUAAAUGAUCUGAAUAGUUUGUCAUUGCUUUUGGGAAUCUGGGAAAAUCUCUGCAUAUUUCUGGAGACCGCUGUUAUGCCGUUUUUAAUAAAUCUGUUGUGCUUCAAUUCAGAAGCGUGUGAGGGGAGUUGUGGAGGAAUUGGCAUUUGGUUUAGAAAUUCCAGGAACAGCAGAGACAGAUGACAGCUGUUUUCUUCUUUAUAAUGUCAAGUCUUAUGAAGGCUAAAACCUACUUCAACAAAAAAAUUAGACUGAAAAACUUUAUAGGCAAAAAUUAAAUAGGAAAAACUAAUUAUUUUGUUUUAAAAUUUUCUUUUUCUUAGUAGGACCUAAUCAUAGAAAUUUAAACUCUGUAUGCCAACAACCUCUACUGUAGGAUCGUUUAUUGUAUGUACUCAUUUUACAGAUUUCUUACAAAAACUUUUUCCAUAAGGGAAAUUAGAAUAUUGUUCAACAUAUAUUGAAUUCCCAAUUAUUACCUUAUUUCUCAUUUAUUAUUUUAUGAUUCUGCCUUCUUUAAUAUGAAGAUUACUAUGACUGUGUUUUCACUUUAUGAAUUAUCAUGUGUCACAUUUGCCUGUAAUUUCAGUUUCAGAAGUUCUAAAAUAGCAUGCUCAAAUGUAUAUAUUAUGUAUAAAUUAUAUAAUUAAUAAUUUAUUAAAAUAUUUGGCUUGUAUGUUUAAUUGACUCUAGGCACAAUGUUACUAUUAGCAUUUUCUUCCAGUUUUCCCAUCUUUUAUUUGACUAAUAGUGCAAUAUAUUUCCAAUUUUUAUUUUAUAUAUCAAUGUUUUACACUGUAUUUACAAUAUUUAUAUUGGUGCCGUAUAUAAAAAUGUAAGACUUUUCUAUUAAAGGCCUGAUUACAGCCUUACCAUUUUGUGUAAGAAAAGCAGCAAUGCAUCAGUAGCAUAAUUUAAAACUUUCUGUAGUAUUACUUAGAUGCUUAUUCCUUAAAACUUUCUCAUCACAGCUAUUUGUAAUAAAUAUACUGUUUUCUCUAAAAUGUUGUUGCCCUAACUGUAUCCAAAUAAUUCAAAAUUUAUACUUUUCAUGGAUUCACAAGAAGAGUUGAAAAUUGUAGUUACCUAGGAUUCUUUUUCAGUAGGAAACUAUGUUUAGUCAGGAUUUUGUGGAUUAAAGUUUCUCUUAAUUAUGUUUUAUAAUUUUAUGUUUCUGUAUUUUUUAGAGUAGGCUGUCUCACAUCAGUUAAUUGUGUUUUUAGUUUCUACUUAUUUAUUAUGAUUUUGAUUUACAUUAUUCAAAUAAGAAUUUGGGGGUUAAUGUUUCUUUUAACUUUGUUUUGCAAUUUUACGUUUCUGUGUUUCAUGUUUUAGGGUAGGGCACCUUACAUCAGUUUAUUGUUUUAAAUUUUAAUUUAUAUAAUAUAAUUUCUCUGUACACCUUAAGACAGUGUGGGGCAAAAGUCAAAUAUGAACCAUCCCUAUGUCUUUUGUUAAUAUAACGAUUUAAGUGUUUGUUUGCUUGUAUAAAUAUUGCUCCUAUUUUGUUUAUGACUUGUAUAUUUUCUUCUUGUUUGAUGGCCAAUAAUUGAUUCUGUCUAAGUGAGUAAUCAUGGAAAUUGUCUUAAUUUCAACAUCUAUUGUUUAUAUUAUCUUAGUGUGAAAGAAAGAUUUGUGCGAUUUGAAGAUAAUUUUUCAAAAACUUUGUAACUCUGUCUCUUUGGGUGUUUUUUAUUUAUUUAUUUAUUUUUUUUGACAGAAUCUCACCCUGUCACCAAAGUGCAGUGGCACAAUCUUGGAUUACUGCAACCUCCCCCUCCCAGGUUAAAGCAAUUCUCCUGCUGCUGCCUCUUGAGUAACUGGCAUUAAAGGUGUGCACCACCACGUCUGGUUAAUUUUUGUAUUUUUCAUAGAGCUGGGGUUUCACCAUGUUGGCCAGGCUGGUCUUGAACUCAUGGCCUCAAGUAAUCUGAAUGUCUCAGCCUCCCAGAGUGCUAGGAUUACAGGCAUGAGCCAUUGCUUUUGGCCCUUGGGUGUCAUUUUUAAUUUCGAUUGUGGUAAAAAUGCAUAACACAAAAUUUAGAAUCUUUAAUAUUUUUUCUUAUACAGUUCAGUCAUGUUAAGUGUAUUUACAUUGUUAUGCAACAUAUUUGUAAAACUUUUUUCUUUUGCAAAACUAAAACUCAGUACACACGAAAUGACAACUACCCAUUUUUCUUACCACCUGGCUCCUGAUAAAAAUCGUUCUAUUUUCUGUUUCUAAGUUUCAAUACUUUAGAUAUUACAUAUAAGUAGAAUCAGAGUAUCUGUUUUAUUGUGACUAAUUUUACUUAGCAUCAUGUUCUCUAGAUUUCUCUUUAUUGUGGAUGGUACAAGAUUUUCUGCCUUUAAAAGCUCAGUAAUAUUCCAUUACUUUUAUAUUACAAAUUAUGUUUAUUUAUUCAUUCUUUGAGGAAAGUUUGUGUUGCUUUCACCUAUUGGCCUUUGUGAGUAAUGCUGCAAAGAAUAUGGGUGUGCAAAUAACUAUCUGCUUAUAUGUGCGAGGUUUACGUCUGUGCUACCUUCUGUUUUAUUGGAAAAAUUGUCUGUCUUUAUGCCAGAAACAAACUGUUUUCAUUACUGUUGCUUUGUAAUGUGCUUUGAAAUCAGAAAAGGUGAGGUCACUAACAUUGUUGUUUGUUUAAACAUUUUUGGGCUCUUUAUGGUCGCUUGAGAUUCCAUAUAAUUUGUUUGUUCCUUUUUCUAUUUCUAAAAAAAAAAUGUUAAUUUAAAAGGAAUUGCAUUGAAUCUGUAACUCGCUUUAGGCAUCAUGAGCAUUCUUCAUAAUAUUGUCUUACAACCCUUAAACAUGAGCAUGCUCAAAAGUGAGUUGUUUAAUUUCCGUAUAUAUGUUGCUAUAUUUUGUCUCUUCUAUUAUUGAUUUCUAGUUUUAUUCCAUUUUGAUUAGAAAUAAUAGUCAUUGAAAGGCUAAACCACUCUGGGAAGUGACCUCCAUUAUAGAACAUUACAAAGAUAUGUGAGGGCACCACUUCUGCCCUGAUGGGCUACAGGGAUGAGUUCUCUGAGAUGACACAUUGCAGACAAAUGCAGGGAACAAUAUAGCCCCUUUUUCAUGUAAACUCUUUCCUAUUUUUGUAGAGUAUUAGUGAUAGUGGUGGUUUUUAAGUCUUGGAGAGGGUCUGGCAGUACCGUGAAGCUGCCUGCUACAGACGAUACCGGGAUGAAUAAUUAAAACUAUACAAACUGUAGCAACAUGAAUAAAUACAGCCUAGUGUAAAGUAAAAAGAACACAAAGGCCUUCUCUGAUAUUUCUACAAGUAUGUAUAAAGGGACUUUACACUUAACCAAGUUGCCAUUGGGAUUAGUUAAGGCUAGAUUUUUUGGGGGCAGAACUUUGGGUCACUUAUGGAAACCCCCUAAGAGAGAGCCCAGAGAAAUUCCAUAUUUGGGUCUGGAUCCUGGGCCCAUCCUGGUUUUGUCAGGCCCCUGUCUGUAGAGACCCCCAUGUGCCUGCUCUCACCGUAACUGACUGUAUGCCAUGCUUGGGGUUGUGGUGAACCUGCCAGUUGUCCAAGGAGAUGGGGGAGUUAAACCCAUAAAAUAUCUGCUCACUGAUUUUAAUGCAGUCUAUAAAGAGUGUUCCCAGCAGCGAAGCUGAAAAAAAGAAAAAGAAAAAAAAAAAAGAAGUUAACUCUCUGCUUUAUUUUUACCACCAGAUAACAUCUCCAUUAGCAAUUCUGUUUCCUAGAUCAGGAAGCAUCCACAUAGACCCGCAUAGGAGCAUCCGCAUAGACCCCCAGCCAAUGAGGAAACCAGAGGACAGCUUAAGGCCUUGGGAUUCACAUCUGAAUAGACACACUUGGCCCGCAACGCUCAACUUUUUAUUCCACCAGCCAUGACCUGGGUUUGAAUAUGACAGACCCAUCAGGGUUCCAAUGCCUUACAACCUGCCCCUGUGAGGAAGAGCCCCCUCCUUUCCUGCUACUCCUACAACACAUGGUAAUGGUAGGCAGGGUGGGGUUGCCCAGAUUAGAUGACGAGGGUGGCCUGGUAUGGACGGACCUGCCCUGGGCUACACAGUGUUACCUGUGGUUGCCUCUUGUCGAAUGGCCAGUAGUAUCAAGGAUGCGGGCUGAGCCAAUAUGUAUAUUGUCAGAAAAGGCUCUCACUUUGAGCCUUUCUAAGGCAACAACUUAGGAAUGUAGCACACAAUGAGAACACACUGCUCUCUCAAGCAACUCCCGUGAAAUGAGCUAGAUACAGGGCUGUCUCUAGAAUGUGGGUGUCUGGUUCCCAAAGUUCUAAAUUCUGUUAGGUUCUGUCACAAGGGAAGUCUGUUAACUUCUUCAAGGUUUUAUCCCCUGAGCCCUUUUCCUCCAUAAAUCUAUGCAAAGGCCCUGCUGGGCUGCUGAUUACUCACCCUCUUAUCCCAUGUCAACCCUUUACCUGUAAAGAGUUAUGCAAACACAAUUAUGCCCCUUACUCUCCAAAAAGAUCUGAAUGCAGCCAGGGCCCCAGGUUUGAGAGAACAGAGUUGGGUUAAAAUCCUCUUUUGCUUUUCAUUUCUGUGACCAUAUCAAAAUCACUGUGUGCUUUAGGUCUCCCCAGCCCUGAAGUUUGCAUAAUAGGAUUAUGCCAGCAUCAACUUCCAAAAACAGUCAUUGGCGAUAUACGAGAUAGAAUAAAUAAAAAUCGGUUGGAUGCAGUGACUCUUGCCUGUAAUCUUAGCAGAUUGGUAGACCAAGGCAGGUGGAACACUUAAGGCCAGGGGUUUGAAACCAGCCAUGGCCAGCAUGGCAAAAACCCUUCUCUACUAAAAAUGCAAAAAUUAGCCAG